UGCGCAGGCGGGGAUGUAAGUCAGUGGCGAAAUACUGCCGCUCAACGGUAGAACUGCCAUUGAUACUGCAUCUCUUGAGUAUGGUUGAGGUAGGCGGAAUGUGUUGUGUAGCGGUGAAAUGCAUAGAUAUGACACAGAACGCCAAUUGCGAAGGCAGCUUACUAAGCCAUUACUGACGCUGAGGCACGAAAGCGUGGGGAGCGAACAGGAUUAGAUACCCUGGUAGUCC
rnacentral:rRNA from 1 species